rnacentral:rRNA from 1 species
CCUACGGGAGGCAGCAGUCGAGAAUCAUUCACAAUGGGGGAAACCCUGAUGGUGCGACGCCGCGUGGGGGAAUGAAGGUCUUCGGAUUGUAAACCCCUGUCAUGUGGGAGCAAAUUAAAAAGAUAGUACCACAAGAGGAAGAGACGGCUAACUCUGUGCCAGCAGCCGCGGUAAUACAGAGGUCUCAAGCGUUGUUCGGAAUCACUGGGCGUAAAGCGUGCGUAGGCUGUUUCGUAAGUCGUGUGUGAAAGGCGCGGGCGUAACCCGCGGACGGCACAUGAUACUGCGAGACUAGAGUAAUGGAGGGGUAACCGGAAUUCUCGGUGUAGCAGUGAAAUGCGUAGAUAUCGAGAGGAACACUCGUGGCGAAGGCGGGUUCCUGGACAUUAACUGACGCUGAGGCACGAAGGCCAGGGGAGCGAAAGGGAUUAGAUACCCCUGUAGUC